rnacentral:rRNA from 1 species
UACGUAGGGUGCGAGCGUUGUCCGGAAUUAUUGGGCGUAAAGAGCUUGUAGGCGGUUUGUCGCGUCUGCUGUGAAAAUCCGGGGCUCAACCCCGGACUUGCAGUGGGUACGGGCAGACUAGAGUGUGGUAGGGGAGACUGGAAUUCCUGGUGUAGCGGUGAAAUGCGCAGAUAUCAGGAUGAACACCGAUGGCGAAGGCAGGUCUCUGGGCCACUACUGACGCUGAGAAGCGAAAGCAUGGGGAGCGAACAGG